rnacentral:lncRNA from 1 species
UGUAUGUGCUCCUAACAGACUAAACACAAGAGAAGCAUCGGAGUCAUUGGUGUGAUUGAGUGUAAUCAUCUGAAACCAACUCACAACAAACAGGACUUUGACAACACCGACACUUACAGGAACACUAUCCAAAAUGUGGCAUCCAAGUUAAGAGAAUACAGCCUUAAAAGAAGGACCAACCCCGGCGAUAACGAACCCAUUGAGGAAACGGAUGACGAGAGGCCUGAUGAAGAUGAUCAAUUACAAGAGACCUCAGGAGAGGGCCCUUCAGGUAAGAAGAGACCAAGGCCUAAUUGUGACGAAGGAGAGCCAGAAAUGCACAUGAGCCUGAGAAGCUCUGCUGCCCCAACUCACGAGAACGUUGAGAUAAGAGGAGAGACCGGUUACUGGAGGCCAAUAGAAGCCUAACGCAAGAAAACCAAGACCAGGCGGCGCAAAUAGAUGAACUGAACUUAAAG